AUGAGGCAAGCAGGAAAGACACCGAAGGACUAUCCAAACAUAGAACUACCAAAUGCUACAGAACUUGAACAACUUGGGAACAGAAUGAUAAACGAAGAACUUAGCCAUGACAUGGAGGCACUAAAGAGUGAGCACGAAACAAUAAUAUGCAAUCUUAACCACGACCAGAAAAUGGCUUUUGAUGCAAUAAUAGAAUCAGCUGAGAGAGGUCUUGGAAAACAGAUAUUUGUAGAAGGCUACGGUGGCACAGGAAAAGCCUAUCUAUGGAAGGCAAUUACAACAAAGCUAUGA
rnacentral:rRNA from 1 species